CUACGGGGGGCAGCAGUGGGGAAUAUUGCACAAUGGGCGCAAGCCUGCUGCAGCCAUGCCGCGUGUGUGAAGAAGGCCUUCGGGUUGUAAAGCACUUUCAGCGGGGAGGAAGGCGUUAAGGUUAAUAACCUUGGCGAUUGACGUUACCCGCAGAAGAAGCACCGGCUAACUCCGUGCCAGCAGCCGCGGUAAUACGGAGGGUGCAAGCGUUAAUCGGAAUUACUGGGCGUAAAGCGCACGCAGGCGGUCUGUCAAGUCGGAUGUGAAAUCCCCGGGCUCAACCUGGGAACUGCAUUCGAAACUGGCAGGCUAGAGUCUUGUAGAGGGGGGUAGAAUUCCGGGUGUAGCGGUGAAAUGCGUAGAGAUCUGGAGGAAUACCGGUGGCGAAGGCGGCCCCCUGGACAAAGACUGACGCUCAGGUGCGAAAGCGUGGGGAGCAAACAGGAUUAGAUACCCGGGUAGUC
rnacentral:rRNA from 1 species